GGGAGAACUCUGGGAAGAGGGAUCCGUGGAUGUUCUUCUAUCCCAGGUUCUGAGUGUGGCUCAGCCACUGUCUACCUUCCUGUCAGUGUUUGUCUCCUACUGUCUGAUGCCACAUUUCUCACCUGAAGAGCCCAGGAAAGAGAAUCUAACUACCUAUUCUUUAAAAAAUUCAUGUUUUAAUGUUUAAUGAAGUUUGGCAUGUAAAUAGCGAGAAACUUCCAAAGGCUUGUUAGUAAAAAAUGGAAGAUCCCUUUCAACCCUUCUUCAUCUCCAGCUCUUUCAGAAGUGGCUGGGACGCAGAUGCUACCAUCCUGAACCAUGAGGAUGAAGCCCACAUCUGGCCAUGGCCGAGUGAGGACUGGAAUGAACCUGAGAUGCUGAGCGUUCCAUGGAACAGAGCCACUCUAGUGACCUGGACUUUCAUGCCAAAGGCAAAGGGAACAUGAACGAGAGAGUGAAGAAGGGAGGUGAUUCGUACCAGCUACAGC
ensembl:lncRNA